rnacentral:ncRNA from 12 species
CGGACCCUUGAUCACUCGGGUAGCGUCCUGGGCUGCCACAUGGGGGAACCCGGUGCGAAUCCGGGGCUGACGCGCAGCGGUGUGGGACGGCAGGGGGCCGUCACCGAGCCCGAAUGCCCAUCUGGCGAGGCACACCUCAA